rnacentral:sRNA from 1 species
GCGGCCACGGAACAACCUGGUCCCGACCCCUGACCCAAAAAAUGAUUCUGAUGAGGAUCCAUGGAUACUUCAUCUCUGGCAUCGGAGAAGAAUUCAAGCGAAGAAAAGCAAUAAAAAAUGAUGCCUCGUCCGUUUCAUUCUAUGUAGGAAUCCGCCAACCCUCUUAUCGCCAAUCACUUCUUCCUUUGCCUCUCCUCGCCGCCGUGUCACCCGCGCCUGCCCCUACCUACCCCUUGUACCGUGUCUUUGGGGGAAGGGUUGACCUGAGCAACCAAAAUAAAUAAAUAAUUGCCCGAGAGAGUGGAGAAAAAGAAAGAAAGGGAAAAAAAAAGUAUAAGAAAGGCCAAGAGGCGCCGGGGAAUCCAAGCCGUUGGCGGAUUGUGACGAGAAGGUCAACGCCUCAAACUCAGCUAUUUCUCGGCUCUUUUCAUCUUCGUGCCUCAUUCUCCCAUUUCCCUUUCUUAAAUAGGUCUCGAUGUCGCGACCGCGGAAGUCCAGUAAUCUCGGUGCAGAUAUCAGAGGAGACACUGGAGCUCCUGCGAUAUCCACUAUGAAUUCUCAUUCGCCAUCCCCUGAAGCUCCGUCGGUACGGCACACACAGCGUGGAGCGUCUGAAAGGAGCGGAAAAUCACACUCCAAGCGGCGACGGGCGCGGUCAUUCUUCCGGCGAUGGAAAGAUACCUCCCUCAAACAUACGUGGCUAACACCACUUAUCCUAUUGCUCAUUAUCCUCGCCACAUACGCAGUGAACCCGACAGAAUCCAACCCAGUCCACAGUGCUAUCUUCCUCUCAUACCCUAACCCCCCUGAAACUCCCGGCGGCCCCAUCAUGUACGGAAAGGGCAAGAAAGAUCUCGCCUUCGUCGGUUUCUACACAAUUGUUCUCUCCUUCACCCGCGAAUUCAUCAUGCAACGAAUAAUACGACCGUGGGGCGUAUACUGUGGGAUCAAGAGCAAGGCUAAAUUGGCCCGGUUUAUGGAACAGGUGUACACGGCGAUCUACUUUGCUUUAUUCGGGCCCUUUGGGCUCUACGUCAUGAGCAAGACGGAUAUCUGGUACUUUAACACGACGCCAAUGUUUGAAGGGUUCCCACACAGGCUGCAUACAGCGGAUUUCAAGGCUUAUUACUUGCUCGAGGCUAGUUACUGGGCGCAACAGGCAAUCGUGCUGCUUCUGCUGCUGGAGAAGCCCAGGAAGGAUUUCAAGGAACUAGUCGCGCAUCAUAUUAUUACCCUGGCGCUUAUUGGGCUCAGUUACCGCUUUCAUUUCACCUACAUUGGUCUUGCGGUUUAUAUCACUCAUGAUAUUUCGGACUUCUUCCUUGCGACCUCCAAAACUCUCAAUUACCUGGACUCCGUCCUCAUCGGUCCAUACUUCAUUACGUUUAUAGGCGUCUGGAUAUACAUGCGCCAUUACCUUAAUCUCCGCAUCCUCUGGGCAGUUCUUACGGAAUUCCAAACCGUCGGUCCCUUUGAACUCAAUUGGGAAACCCAACAGUACAAAUGUCGUCUCAGCCAAGUUAUCACUUUUGGCCUUCUCAGCGCACUACAAGCCGUCAACCUGUUAUGGCUGUUCCUAAUCCUCCGCAUUGCAAAGAACUACGUCUUGAGCGACGUGAGGAAGGACGAGCGGAGUGAGGACGAAGAAGAAGAGGAGCAGGAAGAGGACCAGCAGCCCACGCUUACCAAAGAUGCUCAAGUUUGCGGCAAUGCUGGGACUGGGACUGGAGCCAUUGGCUCUGCGAACAAUGGUAGCGCGGAUGCAACGCAUGUUACGAGGAGGACAGCCAAGACUAAGGAAAACGAUGCUGUCACGGGCCCGAGAGCUAUAGUUAAUGGAGCUACGACGGUUGACUCUCAAUCGGCCAAGCCGGUGCUGGACUACAACAAUUAGGUGGGUUGUGAGCCGCGCUACCUUUUGUUCGUCCUCUUUGGAUUGUUUAUGAACCAAAUUGAAGGUGUCAGAGGUUUUCAGUGCUCUGCCAGUGCCACUCUCUCCCCCAAUCAAUCUCUCAUAGGCAGUUGUCGAAGAAUUUUUUUUUAUGGGGGUGCAAUCCCAUUAUGGAAAUAAGAUGAUUGCCAUGGUAUGGGUAUUAAGCAUAUAUGCAUUCCCCAGGUAUGAUCUGUUGUAUGCAGGAAAAGAGAACAAUAAGAGAACCCCCUGGCUAAGAAAAUCAUCGUUUUUGGCAUUUUCUCUCCCUCUCUCCAUCUUCCUCUUGAGCAUCACAAUUGCAUUGGCAGAUACACAUGUACAGUACAUAUACGUAUUUUUCUUUUCUCCUUUGCCUUUUUUUUCCUUCCCCUUUUAUAAAACCCAUACAUAACUUCUUAAUGUCUGUUUAUUUUCCCAGUGAGAAGAGAAAUGGAGGGUGGGAUGGAGGUUUUGUCUGAUCGGGCAUCAUUAAUUAAGUUUAUCAAUCGAUCUUGAAUCCCCUAUCCAUUGUCCCGCGCCCCUUUUGAGAUGGUUUCUGUCCUGCUUUUGUGUCCCUACUUUGUGUAAUACCCCAACCCCACGUCCUUGAUGUUCUUGUUUGAAGGGUCGUGUGCAUCGGAUAGAGAUUCGUGGAUGAUUCAUGGAUGGAUGGAUGGAUGGAUGAUAAGCCAUGAGCAUGAUGUGAUGGUAUGUACAGUACAGUACAUGAACGAUUAUCAGGGUUUUUUUUUUUUUUUUUGGACGUGAUGGGGUGUUCAUGUGUUGAUCUUCCCCAC